rnacentral:rRNA from 1 species
GACGAACGCUGGCGGCGUGCUUAACACAUGCAAGUCGAACGGAAAGGCGCUGCUCUUGUGGCGUGCUCGUGUGGCGAACGGGUGAGUAACACGUGAGUAACCUGCCCUUGACUUUGGGAUAACUUCAGGAAACUGGGGCUAAUACCGGAUAUGAGCUCCUGCUGCAUGGUGGGGGUUGGAAAGUUUCGGCGGUUGGGGCUGGACUCGCGGCAUAUUAGCUUGUUGGUGGGGUAGUGGCUUACCAAGGCUUUGACGGGUAGCCGGCCUGAGAGGGGGACCGGGCACCAGGGGACUGAGAGACGGCGCAGACUCCAACGGGAGGCAGCAGUGGGGAACAUUGCGGAAUGGGCGGAAGCCUGAGGCAGCGACCCCGCGUGCGGGAUGACGGCCUUCGGGUUGUAAACCGCUUUCGCCGGUGACGAAGCGUGAGUGACGGUAAUGGGUAAAGAAGCACCGGCUAACUACGUG